GGCCGCCCCCCCUCGCGCUCGCCCGCCACCUAGCGCGGCGCGGCGGGCAACCAACGAACUCGGCGCGGACUGCGCCAAGGAAACCGAAACGAGGAGCUUGCUCCCGGGGCCAUCGCAACGAUGCGCCCGCGGGUUGCACCCCUGCGAUAGCAAAU
rnacentral:rRNA from 1 species